UACAGAGGUCCCAAGCGUUGUUCGGAUUCACUGGGCGUAAAGGGUGCGUAGGUGGUGGGGUAAGUCUCGUGUGAAAGCUCGCAGCUUAACUGCGAAAAGUCACGGGAUACUAUUCCGCUGGAGGCUUGGAGGGGGGACUGGAAUACUUGGUGUAGCAGUGAAAUGCGUAGAUAUCAAGUGGAACACCAGUGGCGAAGGCGAGUCCCUGGACAAGACCUGACACUGAGGCACGAAAGCCAGGGGAGCAAACAGG
rnacentral:rRNA from 1 species